UACAGAGGGUGCGAGCGUUGUUCGGAAUUACUGGGCGUAAAGGGCGCGUAGGCGGCCUCUUAAGUCGAACGUGAAAUCCCCGGGCUCAACCCGGGAACUGCGUCCGAUACUGGGAGGCUUGAAUCCGGGAGAGGGAUGUGGAAUUCCAGGUGUAGCGGUGAAAUGCGUAGAUAUCUGGAGGAACACCGGUGGCGAAGGCGGCAUCCUGGACCGGUAUUGACGCUGAGGCGCGAAAGCCAGGGGAGCAAACGGG
rnacentral:rRNA from 1 species